CACGGGGCCAUUGCCCUAGUAACGGCGAGUGAAGCGGCAACAGCUCAAAUUUGAAAUCUGGCUCUCGGGCCCGAGUUGUAAUUUGUAGAGGAUGCUUUUGAUGCGGUGCCUUCCGAGUUCCCUGGAACGGGACGCCAUAGAGGGUGAGAGCCCCGUCUGGUUGGAUGCCAAAUCUCUGUAAAGCUCCUUCGACGAGUCGAGUAGUUUGGGAAUGCUGCUCUAAAUGGGAGGUAUAUGUCUUCUAAAGCUAAAUACCGGCCAGAGACCGAUAGCGCACAAGUAGAGUGAUCGAAAGAUGAAAAGCACUUUGAAAAGAGAGUUAAAAAGUACGUGAAAUUGUUGAAAGGGAAGCGUUUAUGACCAGACUUGGGCUUGGUUAAUCAUCUGGGGUUCUCCCCAGUGCACUUUUCCAGUCCAGGCCAGCAUCAGUUUUCGCCGGGGGAUAAAGGCUUCGGGAAUGUGGCUCUCUCCGGGGAGUGUUAUAGCCCGUUGCGUAAUACCCUGGCGGGGACUGAGGUUCGCGCAUCUGCAAGGAUGCUGGCGUAAUGGUCAUCAACGACCCGUCUUGAAA
rnacentral:rRNA from 1 species